AUUGAACGCUGGCGGCAUGCCUUACACAUGCAAGUCGAACGGCAGCACGGGUGCUUGCACCUGGUGGCGAGUGGCGAACGGGUGAGUAAUACAUCGGAACAUGUCCUGUAGUGGGGGAUAGCCCGGCGAAAGCCGGAUUAAUACCGCAUACGAUCUACGGAUGAAAGCGGGGGACCUUCGGGCCUCGCGCUAUAGGGUUGGCCGAUGGCUGAUUAGCUAGUUGGUGGGGUAAAGGCCUACCAAGGCGACGAUCAGUAGCUGGUCUGAGAGGACGACCAGCCACACUGGGACCGAGACACGGCCCAGACUCCUACGGGAGGCAGCAGUGGGGAAUUUUGGACAAUGGGCGAAAGCCUGAUCCAGCAAUGCCGCGUGUGUGAAGAAGGCCUUCGGGUUGUAAAGCACUUUUGUCCGGAAAGAAAUCCUUGGCUCUAAUACAGUCGGGGGAUGACGGUACCGGAAGAAUAAGCACCGGCUAACUACGUG
rnacentral:rRNA from 1 species